UACGUAGGGGGCAAGCGUUGUCCGGAGUUCAUUGGGCGUAAAGAGCGUGUAGGCGGCCAGGUAGGUCGGUUGUGAAAACUGGAGGCUCAACCUUCAGAGGUCGACCGAAACCAUCUGGCUAGAGUCCGGGAGAGGAGAGUGGAAUUCCUGGUGUAGCGGUGAAAUGCGCAGAUAUCAGGAAGAACACCCGUGGCGAAAGCGGCUCUCUGGAACGGUACUGACGCUGAGACGCGAAAGCGUGGGGAGCGAACAGG
rnacentral:rRNA from 1 species